AUUGAACGCUGGCGGCAGGCCUAACACAUGCAAGUCGAACGAGUGGCGGACGGGUGAGUAAUGUCUGGGAAACUGCCUGCUGGAGGGGGAUAACUACUGGAAACGGUAGCUAAUACCGCAUACCAUCAGAUGUGCCCAGAUGGGAUUAGCUAUUUGGUUGGGGAACGGCUCACCAAGGCGACGAUUCCUAGCUGGUCUGAGAGGAUGACAGGCCAAACUGGAACUGAGACACGGUCCAGACGCCGACGAGAGGCAGCAGUGGGGAAUAGUGCACAAUGGGCGCAAGCCUGAUGCAGCCAUGCGGCGUGUAUGAAGAAGGCCUUCGGGUUGUAAAGUACUUUCAGCGGGGAGGCGUUACCCGCAGAAGAAGCACCGGCUAACUCCGUGCCAGCAGCCGCGGUAAUAC
rnacentral:rRNA from 1 species